rnacentral:lncRNA from 1 species
UUUUUUUUUCUUUCUGUAUAUAGUAUAAAAGUGCAAGGUGAAGCAGCAAGUGCUAACAUACAAGCUGUAGCAAGUUAUCCAGAAGAUCCAGCUAAGAUAAUUAACGAAAGUGGCUAUGCUAAACAAGAGAUUUUCAGUGUAGACAAAACAGCCUUAUAUUGGAUGAAGAUGUCAUCUAGAACUUUCAUAGGUGAAGAGAAGUCAAUGCCUACUUUCAAAGCUUCAAAGGACAAGCUGACUUUCUAGUUAAGGGCUAAUGCAGCUGGUGAUUUUAUUAGAAGCCAAUGCCCAUUGACCAUUCUGAAAUUCUAGGGCCCUUAAGAAUUAUGUAACAUCUACUCUCCCUGUGCUUUGUAAGUGGAACAAAAAAGCAUAGAUGACAGCACAUCUGUUUAUGACACAGUUUACUGAAUAUUUUAAGCCCACUGCUGAGAACUACUGUUUAGAAAAAAAAGAUUCCUUGAGAAAUAUUACUGCUUACUGACAUCACAUCUGGUCAUCCAAGAGCUCUGAUGGAGAUAUACAAUGAAAUUAAUGUUGUCUUCACGCCUGCUAACAAAACAUCCAUUCUGCAGUCCAUGGAUCAUGGAGUCAUUUCAACUUUCAAGUCUUAUUAUCUAAGAAAUAUGUGUCAUAAAGCUACAGCUGCCAUAGAUAGUGAUUCCUUUGAUGGAUCUGGGCAAAGUAAAUUGAAACCUUCUAGGAAGGAUUCACCAAUCUCGAUGCCAUUCAAAACAUUUGUGAUUGAUGGGAAGAGGUCAAAAUAUCAACAUCAACAAGAGUUUGAAAGAAGUUGACUGCAGUCCUCAUGAUGAUUUUGAGCAGUUCAAGCCUUCAAUGAAUGAAGUAACCUCAAUGUGGUAGAAAUACCAAGAGAAUUAGAAGUGGAGCCUGAAGAUGUAACUGAACUGUACAAUCUCAUGAUAAAACAUGAAUGGAUGAGGAGCUGCUACUUCUGUACGAACAAAGAAAGUAGUUUCUUGAGAUGUAAUCUACUCCUGGUGAAGAUGCUCUGAAGACUGUUGAAAUGACAACAAAGAAUUUAGAUAGAAUAUUACAUGCUUUCAAGCAGCAAUGCAUGCUACAGAGAAAUUAUUCAUGAAAAGAAGAGUCAGUCGAUACAGCAAACUUGUCUUAUUUUAAGAAAUUGCCACAGCCACUCCAACCUUCAGCAACCAACAUCCUGAUCAGUCAGUCAGCAGCCAUCAGCAUCGAGGCAAGAUCUUCCCCCAGCAAAAAGAUUAGGACUCACUGAAAGCUCAGAAUAUGGUUAGCAUUUUAGCAAUAAAGUAUUUGUUAAUUAAGGUAUGUACACUGUCCAAUUAAUAGACUAGUAUACAGAGUAAACAUAACUUUCAUAUGCAGAGGGAAACAAAAAAUUUCAUCUGACUCCCUUUAUCAUGAUAUAUGCUCACAUUUCCGAGGUAUGCCUAUAUACUACAGAAGUCAAAAUUAUCCUGAAAGGCUAGGAAACAGUCAUUCCAUCACCUACUCAAGACAUAAGCUCCUACUCAAUGGUAGGCACUAGGCUAGAUGCUGGAGAAAGGAAGUUUGUAACUGAGGUCCAGGGAGGGAGACAUACAUAUAAAGAAAUAACAGCAAUUGUACAACAUGCACUAGACUCGGUGGAGCACAAGGGAGUGAUGAGCUGGGAAAAUCAUGAGACUGACUGGUGUCUUGGUUCUGUUACCCAGCAGAACCUUCUUCUAUAAAUAACUUCUCUUCCAAAUGUUUAUGCUUUCAAAGGGCAAGGAGAUCCUUAGAGAACAGAAGAUUUACACACUGGUUGGUUAUUCUCCACUUGCCCCUCCCCACUCCACAUCCACGACCCACCCUUCUCUGCCCUUCUCUUGCCUCCAGGAACUGGAGCCUCUAUAAAAUGCAUUAUCCAGAAUCCCUUACUCUAGCUCUCCGAUGGAGCUGCCUAACAGAAGACACCAGCGAAAGACUAGAGAGGAGAGAGGAGAGUUGACAUAUUUGUCAACUCCUCUCCCAGGCUCCCGUCUCCCCGCCUGCCCCAGUCCUGCCUGUAGCUGGAUCUAUGCUUACAGUUCCAGGGGCAGUUCUCACUGGGGCCCAGGAAUGCGGCUUCCUCCCUCAUUCCUUCUGGCCUGGAGACAGAGUCAGCUCCUACCUCGGCUACCUGUGGAGUGCUUUGCCAUCACCUGGGGUCUCCCUGAGUCCUCCCCUCAACUCUUUAAACAUUCCUUCAAUUAAAUGCUCCUCAGGUAAACUCAGACAUGCCAUCCCUUGCCGGCCAGAACUCUAACUGAAACCACAGUUUUCUGCGACUAUGAAAUCCAAUUUCUAAAAAAUAUCUGAACAAGGCUCACGUUUUCAAAGAGUCUGAAAUCUGGACAACGUCAUCAAUGUCCAACAUUUAUCAAAUAACUACCUUGGAUAGCUCUGAUCAUGCGCUAGGUAUGCCAGUUUUGACUAAUGUUUGCAUCUCUCCUGGACUUGGUUUGAGAUCUUCAAAAAAGGGAAUCUUUUUUUUCUUUAAAGAUUUUAUUUAUUUAUUUAUGAGAAACACAGAGAGAGAGGCAGAGACACAGGCAGAGAAGAAGCAGGCUCCCUGCAGGGAGCCCGAUGUGGGACUUGAUCCCAGGACCCGGGGAUCAUGACCUGAGCCAAAGGCAGAUGCUCAACCACUGAGCCACCCAGGCGACCCAAAAAAAGGGAGUCUUAAGAGCAGUUGUAGGUAUUUUAGGAGUGAGUCAGACUUUUUUUUUUUUUAAAUGUAAUGGGAUGAAUUAAGCACCUGACUGAGGGUUCUGAGAACAGAGAAUGGUCAGUUCAUUGAUGUUCCCAGAAAAGCUUUCAUCCCAGGGCUAUACAACGCCUUUCUGCUCAAAUCUGCAUUCUAAUCAUUCAAGCAGCCAAAACACUGCCACCUGUCAUAAUAACCAUCUUGGCAUACUAUAGAUUUGUUUUGUUUAAGAGAAAAACCAAACUGACUUUAACUACACUAGUUUCAAAUCUGCAACAGCUCUGAUUCAUGGAAUUAACAAGUAAAAGUGUGUCCUAUGAUUCUGAGUGGCGUCAUUCUGAUUCCAGAAAAAUCACUCAUGAUUUACUCAGGCUACAAUGACGAAUACAAGAUAAAAACAAUGUUUGUUCCUUAGACCGAGGUAAGCCAAACACAUUAGAUGAGUCUGUUUCAGCGAAAAAUAUUGUUCUUGUGUAUGCUUUUUAGAAGUCUUCACCAUUCUUUUUUCCCUCACCAGAUAUUCACUUACUGGCCAUGGGAUGUUUUGUUUUGUUUUGUUUUGUUUGGCAUUCAUCUUGAGUGCCUGUGCUACAGUAUUGUUGUUGUUUUUAUGCUGGUAUUUAUUUUUUGAUUUCUAUUUAUUUCAAUGUGACCUUCUUCUCCUUGCCACUCUUCUACCCCUGUUCUUGCGUUCUUUUUUCUUUUUUUUUAGAUUUUAUUUACUCAUGAGACACACACACACAGAGGCUGAGACACAGAGGGAGGAGCAGGAUCCCUGCAGAGAGCCCCAUGCGGGACUCAAUCCCAAGACCCCGGGAUCAUGACCUGAGCUGAAGGCAGACGCUCAACCACUGAGCCAGGCAGGCAUCCCACCCUUGUUCUCUUGAUGCACUUUUCUUUCAUUCUCUCCCUUCCCUGGUUGUCAGAUCAUGGCAUAACCUCAUCUCCCCACAACAUUAGCAAAGUGCCCUAAAAUUGACAAAUGCACUUCCGCUGCUAAAGACAGAGUUCCUCCCUUCGGAUGAGGCAUUCCCACUGGGACUUGGGUUAUCCUUUGGGCAUUUGAUUAGAAGCAAGUGAGGUUGCCCAGGCAACCGCUCCAAACUGUCCUAGGAUCCCUGGCAAGCAUGGUUUACGCAGCCUGAUGUGAAGGUCACACUAGCCAACCCUGCGACAGUUAAAGUCUCUAUGCAAUCAACCAAGGGCUCAGGGAACAUCCAUCAAGAUGAGCUCAAUAACAUUUGCAUAAUCAUAAAAUUGUCAGACUCUCAAAGCCAUAAGGACCCAUGUGAACAAUCUAUUUCAAAGAGCCAAAGAUAUUAGCUUUGAAAAGGAAUAACAAUAGAUAAGUGUGGUAAAAUCAUUAAAAAGAAUAUAUCAAAAACCAACCAGAUGGAAUCCAAUCACUUAGCUGGUAAAAAUACUUAAGCUACUCAGUUUUCUCAAAUGAUUUAAAAACAGUUCUACUCCGAGGCAAGGCAAUAAACUGAAAGGCCUGGAAAAAAAUCACUCCAUACCUUUACUCCUUAUAAUUUCCUUAGAUCAGAAGUGUUUAAGAUAUUAUUCUCAAAUAGUGAGACACCCGCAUCAGGCUCCCCCUGGGGAGCCUGCUUCUCCCUCUGCCUAUGUCUCAGCCUCUGUGUGUGUGUC